rnacentral:rRNA from 1 species
GAUGAACGCUGGCGGCGUGCCUAAUACAUGCAAGUCGAGCGAACGGACGAGAAGCUUGCUUCUCUGAUGUUAGCGGCGGACGGGUGAGUAACACGUGGAUAACCUACCUAUAAGACUGGGAUAACUUCGGGAAACCGUAGCUAAUACCGGAUAAUAUUUUGAACCGCAUGGUUCAAAAGUGAAAGACGGUCUUGCUGUCACUUAUAGAUGGAUCCGCGCUGCAUUAGCCAGUUGGUAAGGUAACGGCUUACCAAGGCAACGAUGCAUAGCCGACCUGAGAGGGUGAUCGGCCACACUGGAACUGAGACACGGUCCAGACUCCUACGGGAGGCAGCAGUAGGGAAUCUUCCGCAAUGGGCGAAAGCCUGACGGAGCAACGCCGCGUGAGUGAUGAGGGUCUUCGGAUCGUAAAACUCUGUUAUUAGGGAAGAACAUAUGUGUAAGUAACUGUGCACAUCUUGACGGUACCUAAUCAGAAAGCCACGGCUAACUACGUG